GGCUGGCUAUACACAAGUCUGGAGCUCAGAAUGAGUUUACUGGCAGUCUGAAGGUUAGCAAUUGAUGAAGAUCGUGGUAUGGGACUUAUGCCAGGUGAUACAUCUGGAGAAGAAUCCACAGUCUUCUGCUCAGUAACUCUACCUCUCUACAGAGAAGGCUGGUCAUGGUGAAAUCCUUCCCUGCUGGAAUGUUCCUAGUCACUGCUCCUAGAACGGAUUCUUCAGACUGAUCUGAAUACUGACAGGCCCUGUCUUGCAAGAUGGUUUAUGAAAUAACAGAAGAAUGGAAAAAAAUAAAGAUGUGUUUCUUUAUACAAUAACAGUACAAGCUAAUGCUUAAAGACAGCCUGCAAAACAUGCAACUAUGCAAGAUGUAAUGCAUAAGAUCUAUACAUGGAAUGGCACAAAAAUCACACAGAACUAAAGGAAGACAAACCACUGGAAGGAAGAAAAGGAUCCAUCAUCCUGCUUAUCCUGUCGGAGUCCCAGGAGGUGUCUGACUCAGGAGUUAACAGAGCAUUGUGAUGAGAAGAUGUCAGCAGCAAUGGGUUGAUGCUUGCUGCUAUGUGGAAGUGACCAAGUGCAUUUGCUUGAUGGGAAAUGUGACGCUGAACUUCGUGAGUGCCCUGCUGAUCUGGCAGUACAUCCGUACUGAGAGAUGGUGCUGCUGAUGCUGGAAGUGGUGGUUUCACAGAUCUGCUCCCCCAGGAGAGUAUCUUCGGGUAGCAGCGUCUCUGCCCACAGCCGGCAGAUGCCAUCGAGGCAUGACCUGUUGCAAAAUAUUCACCAUCAGGAGACCAUGACAUCAAAUGUACUGAUGUUGCAGUCCUAUAGAACACAAGAGCAAGUUAAGUAAGAAUGUCAUCAGAUGGAGGGGCCCACAAUUGCAAGAAGUCUGUUGCUGUCAAUAACCUGUUACCUGAAAGGGAAUGGUACCAAAACUAUGGAACCAGGAUGAUGAAGGUGGAAGCACACAAAAUGGAGCCAGUAACCAUCAUUUCAGUACCAUUCCAGUUCUGAUCCUGUACUGUAAAUAAUGCACCUGUUCAUAUUUUGUGACACCUCUUAUUGCAGAUCCCAGAAAGGGAAUAAAGCCUUUGUUCCAACAUGUCUCCCGGUU